rnacentral:rRNA from 1 species
CUGGAAUCGCUAGUAAUCGCAGGUCAGCAUACUGCGGUGAAUACGUUCCCGGGUCUUGUACACACCGCCCGUCACACCAUGGGAGCCGGAAAUGCCCGAAGCCAGUGACCCAACCUUAGGGAGGGAGCUGUCGAAGGCAGGUCGGAUGACUGGGGUGAAGUCGUAACAAGGUAAC